rnacentral:rRNA from 1 species
AGCAGCCGCGGUAAUUCCAGCUCCAAUAGCGUAUAUUAAAGUUGUUGCAGUUAAAAAGCUCGUAGUUAAAUUUCGGGAUCAAUAUAUUGGUCAUGCUUAGGUAUGUACUGGUAUUAUUGAUUUCUCCCUUCUGAAGAACCAUAAUGUCAUUAAUUUGAUGUCAUGGGGAAUCAGGACUGUUACUUCGAAAAAAUUAGAGUGUUUAAAGCAGGCUUUCGCUUGAAUACAUUAGCAUGGAAUAAUGAAAUAGGACGUUUGAUUCUAUUUUGUUGGUUUCUAGGAUCGACGUAAUGAUUAAUAGGGAUAGUUGGGGGCAUUAGUAUUCAAUUGUCAGAGGUGAAAUUCUUGGAUUUAUUGAAGACUAACUACUGCGAAAGCAUUUGCCAAGGAUGUUUUCAUUAAUCAAGAACGAAAGUUAGGGGAUCGAAGACGAUCAGAUACCGUCGUAGUCUUAACCAUAAACUAUGCCGACUAGGGAUCGGAUGAUGUUAAUUUUUAAUGACUCAUUC